GACGAACGCUGGCGGCGUGCUUAACACAUGCAAGUCGAACGGAAAGGCCCUGCUUUUGUGGGGUGCUCGAGUGGCGAACGGGUGAGUAACACGUGAGUAACCUGCCCUUGACUUUGGGAUAACUUCAGGAAACUGGGGCUAAUACCGGAUAGGAGCUCCUGCUGCAUGGUGGGGGUUGGAAAGUGUCGGCGGUUGGGGAUGGACGCGCGGCUUAUCAGCUUGUUGGUGGGGUAGUGGCUUACCAAGGCUUUGACGGGUAGCCGGCCUGAGAGGGUGACCGGCCACAUUGGGACUGGGCUACGGCCCAGACUCCUACGGGAGGCAGCAGUGGGGAAUAUUGCACAAUGGGCGGAAGCCUGAUGCAGCAACGCCGCGUGCGGGAUGACGGCCUUCGGGUUGUAACCCGCUUUCGCCUGUGACGAAGCGUGAGUGACGGUAAUGGGUAAAGAAGCACCGGCUAACUACGUG
rnacentral:rRNA from 1 species